GUGGGAUUUGUCUCACGGCAACUUAUACCAAUGAGAACAAUAUUUUGCUCUGAAGUCAUUACUUUCUGCCAUGGAUGUUUUGAAAACAGCCCGUCACCUGACAAUACAGCCUCAAGGUGCCGCUCCGAGACCGCCGAAGAGCUGCACCGGGGGAACCCAACUCCCCUUCACCGACUGCAGGAGGGCAGAAACGUCACUUGUUAAGGUAGCACCCAAAAAAUGAGAGCCAUGUCAGCAAUGUGAGGGAGAUAUCCGCUCUGUGAAGCCUGCGGCUGCGUCACUCGUUUGAGAUUCCUUUCCCUCCACACAAGCCAACAAAGGAAGAUAAAGAUCACCCUAUUUGUGGUAACUGGUACUUAGUUCCUUUGAGUUACACUUAAAAUAAACUCUCUUUCAGCUCUCCCGAGGUUGCAGUACGGAGCUG
ensembl:lncRNA